GUACCGUAAACCAGCUGUAUGAAAAGACCAAGUUGAGAAUGCUUCGCGUUUAUACGUGCUCCAGGGAUAAAGACAGCUCAAUCGUGCUCUCGGAUGCAUCCUCAGACGAUGAGAGGCCAGUGAAGACAGGGGAACCAACCAGGCAAUCAACAACAGACCAGUGCAGUCAUGAGGUGGAUUCCCCACUUGCCCUUGCCAUCAAUGUGUCUCUUGAAGACUUUGAAGCACAGUUUGGAAGUAUUUCUGCUGAUAUUGGUGAAGACUCCACCCUUCUUUGGAAUCCUUGUGACCUCAACAAUAUCCAGCAUUCUUCAUUGAACGAUGGACCUGCAUCAUCGAACAGUCUUACAGCAUCACCAGAUCAGUCUGAAAAAGAAGUCCUGUACGUGGAAUUAAGACGAGUAAACAUAGUUCAUGAUGUCCUUAAUGUCUUCAUGGAACCAAGAGUACUGAAUGUUAAUCUGAAAAUGGAGUUAAUAAAUGAGAAAGCUGUGGACAGUGAUGGUGUGUCAAGAGAGGUGUAUUCCGCCUUCUGGGAACACUUCUUGGAACAGUGUGAGGGGGAAGAAGAGAGAGUUCCCAGACUACGACCAGACUAUUCUGAGAAGGAAUGGAAAGCAGUUGGAAGAGUUUGGUUGAAAGGAUACUUGGACCACGGUAUCAUGCCUAUCAGACUGUCACCAGCUUUUGUUCUUGCAUGCUGCCAAGGAGUCAGCUCAGUGGAUGAAGAACUCUUGAUGACGUCCUUUGCCAGAUUCCUAUCAGUG